AUGGGUCCGACCCCUUGUGUCUGCAGUGAGACAGACACAGUCAUGUUUACGCAACAGGUGUUUGUGAGACUCGAGGGCAGAGACAGGAGCGGUCCCAGGUGCAAGUGCUACGUGGUCUUCGACAUGCAGCCCAGAUUCAGCAUCUCCACGCACACCCUCGGCGGCAUGGAUUUCUCAGAGCCCCGGACUCGCUCACCUUGGACUCGCACUGCACCGGCUGGCGGCUCUUCUCCCUCCCCCCCCCAAGAAUGGGAGGAGCUCCGAGGCAGGAGAGGACCCAGCCCGCCCACCUGGCUCUUAUCUCCAGUAUCCACUCCGAUUGUGGAUCUUUGACCUUCACCCUGGUGAGCACGGGGUGCGGGGUGCUUGGGGGGAGGGGCGGGCAGGGGGGUGGGGCUGUGCUGCUUGACAUGGCAUCGUAGUAACACUGUAAGACGCCUUUCACAUCAAAUGCCUCAGUGUGUGCUGUCAAGUCAGGUGGUCUUCGAAUGGGUGUGGCCAAGCACGCAGAGGGGUCAGGACCUCAGCCAAGCCUUGCAGAGGUGGGCAGGCGAGCCCCGGUUGGCUUGGCUGGGAAGAAGCCUGCCUGGGCCCCUAAUGGCUUCGGGCGUGCACGGCCCAGUUGGUGUCCCACAAAAUGAGAUUCUUCUGUGCCUGAAGCGUUUCCUCUGUGCCCUCGGUGGCCCAGUCCCUCUGCAGUGGGCUUGCAUCUUACAUGGGCUUCCGAGUCAUCUGAUAAGGUGAAGGGAUUCAAAACUGUCUUUGAACAAUCUCAGAUGCUACCAUAAAACUCUUGUGUGUGUAAAAUCCUGGGCCAAAUCAUGUGGCAUAAACGUCUCCCAUAGGAAGUAAUGCCCCGCGUGUGAUGCGGGGGAAGGCGUACCUGGGCGGAUAGCACGUCACAGUAUUCUCCAUCCAGCCUGCCCCAGAGGGAACCAUCUCUCGACUCGGGAAUUACGCUCUCAGGGUCACCGUGCCAGGUGCCUAGGACUGUCCUGGUUCUCGUGCUCUAAGUUCUGGGUCUCAGGAACCCCCCAGAUCUCUGGCAAAGAGUUGGCCAUCCCACGUCAGCACUGAAAGUCACUCACACGGUCAGAGGCCUGUGGCAGCUGAGGGCUUUGGGUGUCCCUGGUGGGCCGGAUCGGCCGGCCACUCCUUCCCUGUUUCUCUUUCCACCCUCCUCCCCACACUGCGUGUAGUUGAAUCUGCAGCACCUACAGAACACAUCCUCGAGACACAACCUCUAGGUUCGACUGGAAAAGCAGCAAAAACACGGGCUUUUCUAAUUUGAGAAUUGACAUCACCUGCGUGGCAGAAAGUCUGUGUGUAUGUG
rnacentral:lncRNA from 1 species